UCCUGGUGGCUCAGAUGGUAAAGAAUCUGCAUACAAUGCAGAAGAUCCAGGUUUGAUCCCUGGGUCAGGAA
rnacentral:tRNA from 1 species